rnacentral:rRNA from 1 species
AAGGGCACCACAAGAACGCGUGGAGCAUGUGGCUUAAUUUGACCCAACACGAGAAAUCUUACCGGGUCCGGACACACUGAGGAUUGACAGGUAUUAUUACUUAAUUCUUUUAAGUAUGUUAAAUAUGCUAGUCCUUUCAUGAUUAUGUGAUAGGUGGUGCAUGGCCGUUCUUAGUUCGUGGAGUGAUCUGUCUGCUUAAUUGCGUUUCACAAAGGGCUUUAUAACUUUCGCCUGUUGCGCGGCAUUCUGGUCUGUCUCUGGCAGCAGGUGUCUGUGCACGGUGAAGAAAAAGUCCUGAAAGCAACGAACGUGACCG